GCAGCGCGCCACGGGCACUCGGACCACACAGCGGGGGAAGGCUGCCAGCAGGCCGCCUGAGGCCGCAUCCAGCUCCAGGCUCAGCAGCCGCUGCCCUGUCUCGCCAUCUCCAGACCAUCCACACCUGGGGGUGAGCAGACUGGUCUCAAAUUCCUCCAGGAAGACACUGGGUCCCGUGGUACCCGAGGCACUGGCGUUGGGCCAGACAAGGAACUUGAGGACGGUGCCUGCCUCAGACCCCAGGAAGACAACGGUCUGGUUGCCCCAGGGGCCGGCGCCCACGUCCACAGCCACUCGUGUCAGCUGGUGCCUGGGGCCAGGGUGGAGCAGAAGUCAGGCUGCCGCCCAGCCCCGUGUCCCCUGCGUGCACUCAAAGACACCACCCAUGCUGGGCAAUGUGGGCAUGGGCGUGGCUCCAAGGGUGCACAUCACAGAGAGAAACAGAUCCCCAAAGCCAGCUCCUCCCUGGGCUCUCCUGUCUUCAUCUCCCCAUCUGCCUCCAUCUCUGUGUCUCCCUCCAUCUCUGCCUUCCCCUCGUGUCAUGUCGGAAGUUGCCCCUGUGCUCCCUUCUCGCCCACCACCCUGGCCUGGGCUCUUGUCCCCACCCAGGCCUGGCCACCAGGACCCCAGCCAAGUGUAGGAACUGACCGCAUCAGAGUCCGAACGAUCCAGGGUGCGUGGCCCAGGGAGGGCACGGCCUCAUCCAUCAGAGGGUGGAUUCUUUACCGUCUGAGCCACCAGGGAAGCCCAAGAAUACCGGAGGGGGUAGCCUAUC